AUGGCUUCAGCCGGCCUCGCUCUCAAGGCGGCCGCCGUGGCCGCCAUGCUCGCCAUGCUGGUCAUACCUUUGUCGGGCCGCUGUCUGUCGCUGGGGCCGGCACCGCCAGCACCGUCGCCGCCGGCACAGGCGCCACCGCCACCCGAAUCGAUACCACCGGUGCCAGCACCGGCGCCGGCACAGCGGGUAUCGUGCGGGGACUGUUACUCGGUCGGGAGCCAGGCGUGCUAUUCGUUGUGCAUAGCCCCCUCCUCCGAGACAUGCGGUUGCCUUUUGGUUCAAGGUCGCUGCGACAAGUGCAAGACCUCCGAGACCGACAUGUGCACGGCCAACUGCACCGACGGCCGCUGUGACUGCGGCGCCGCCGCCGACAAGGCAUGCGCCGACACUUGUUCCUACAAUGAUUGCAGCUGGUGCGUGCGCGGGCAACAGCAGGGUUGCCUGACCAGCUGCAGGAGCGAGUGCAUGAGCAAGUGCAAUGGGCCGUAG
rnacentral:rRNA from 1 species